AACGAACGCUGGCGGCAGGCUUAACACAUGCAAGUCGAACGCACCCCCUUCAAGCGAGCUUGAGGGUUUUUUGAUCCGAUCGAGCGGAGCUUGCUUGAUGGGGGUGAGUGGCAGACGGGUGAGUAACGCGUGGGAAUCUACCUAGCUCUACGGAAUACUCCAGGGAAACUUGGGUUAAUACCGUAUACGCCCUGAUGAAGGGGAAAGAUUUAUCGGAGUUGGAUGAGCCCGCGUUGGAUUAGCUAGUUGGUGGGGUAAAGGCCUACCAAGGCGACGAUCCAUAGCUGGUCUGAGAGGAUGAUCAGCCACACUGGGACUGAGACACGGCCCAGACUCCUACGGGAGGCAGCAGUGGGGAAUAUUGGACAAUGGGGGCAACCCUGAUCCAGCCAUGCCGCGUGAGUGAUGAAGGCCCUAGGGUUGUAAAGCUCUUUCACCGGUGAAGAUAAUGACGGUAACCGGAGAAGAAGCCCCGGCUAACUUCGUGCCAGCAGCCGCAGUAAGAC
rnacentral:rRNA from 1 species